CUUGAGUUGAAUGUUAUUGGCUUUGAGCACAUAAAAGACUUGUAUGGGAAUGAUCCUUCCUUUGCUACUCGUUAUACUAAGUGUUUGGCGCAUACAUAUUGGGAACGAUAUUACAUCAAGGAUGAUUAUCUUAUGAGAGCUAACAAACUUUGCAUUCCCGAGUCUUCUCUUUGUUUGCUCCUUUUGCAAGAGGCUCAUGUAGGCGGACUCAUGGGACACUUUGGACGUGACAAGACAUUCGCCACACUCUCCAAGAACUACUUUUGGCCCAAGAUGUUCUGCGACGUCUCAUGCUUCAACAACCGAUGA
rnacentral:rRNA from 1 species